UUUAUUUCCAAAAUUCAAUUUUAGUCAUGACCAAUUUCAACCAGAUGAACCCUAACCCUAAUUCCCAAAAUUCCCCAUCAAUCUCACCGCCGCCGCAAUCGUACCCGCCGCCGCUCUAAGUGCGACCACCACUGUGUCCUUCCUCUUCUUCGCCCCAAAUGCUGCUGUGCGACCAUCCUGAUGCAACAUAGGAGGCUUCAUCUGCGAAUCACGUUUGAAACAGAGCUUCAUUUUACGGCUAGGAACAAUUUUUCUUUCUGAAAUUUCCUAUGCUUUCAACCAUGGAUAUUCUACUCCUACCUACAUGGUUUUCAAAACUUGUAAUUUAAUUGGAGGCUGAACAACAAUAGCUUAUCUGGACCCUUUCCUGUGUCACUAGCCAAAAUCCCAGAACUUGCUUUCUUGUGAGUAUGGUUAUCUUUCAUUGUUUUGUAUUCAAUUUGCUUUUCUGGGUAUGCUGGGAAAUUGAGGCAUUGAGCUGAUUGAUUCAGUUAGGAUUAUGUCUGAACUGGGAAGAUGGGUUUUUGGUACCAUAGUGGUGGCCAUUGGCCUUUGCCCUUAAUCUGAAAAAUACCAUUUGGUAAACUCAUGAUGCUAUCUGCUUCAUUUUGCUAUUUGUGAAUUGAGAAGAUGCAGAUUUAUGUCAAUUUUUUAAACGGAGACCACCUUCACAUGCGUUGUUUUGCGCAUAUAUUGAAUCUAGUUGUGAAGGAUGAUCUUAAGGUGAUUGAUGAGUAUGUUUUGAGGAUCCGUGUGGCUAUAAAAUAUGUUAGAGUUUCAUAUGGUAGGAUGAGAAAGUUUAAAACAUGUGUUGAUAAGGCAAAUAUCGAAUACAAGAGCCUUGUUUUUAUAGAUUGUGAAAUGAGGUGGAACUUGACUUACCUCGUGUUAGAGGCUGCACUAAAACACCAAAACGCUUUUGAAGAGCUUCAAUUGCAUGAUCCCAAGUUUGUUGAUGAAUUAGUAAGGGGGAAGGAUGACAAGUUGGAGGCGUAGAGGAGGCCGCCGACAAACUCAGAUUGGGACCAUGCGCAUUUAGUUAUGUCAUUUUUUAGGACUUUCUAUGAAGUUACUAUGUGCAUUUUUGGUUCAUCUUAUGUGACCAGUAAUAUAUACAUCUUAGAGGUUCUUGGAGUUGGGAAAAAUAUCAGGGAAAUGUGUUGGUCAAAUGAAACAAGUUUAAAGCGGAUGACUGAAAAAAUGAAGACAAAAUAUGAUAAGUAUUGGGGAAAAGCUAAUAAUUUUAACAUGUUAAUGUUUAUUGCUUUGGUGUUAGACCCUAGAUACAAAUUAUAAUUUCAGAAGCGGUUGAUUAGUGACUCUUUUGACUAUAGUGAGUCAACUUAUCUUAUAAGUAAGCUGGAGGUGUGUUUAAAAGCAAUUUUUGAGGAGUGUAAAGGUGUGGUAGAUGAGUCUCAAGGUGACAACUCGCAAGGAAGAGUCCAAUUUUAUGCUGAUAGUAGUGAUGACCGUUAUGGAUAUAAUCAAUACUUUAAAUCAAGUGGAAGCAAAAAUGAAUAAGCUAAGUACUUGGAGGAUGGUUUAGAGGAACAUGGAUCACUGGACAUCUUAAAUUGGUGGAAGCUGAAUUCAAGUCGGUAUCCGAUCCUUGCAAGCAUUGCAAGAGAGUUGUUUGCUAUACCUAUCUCCACGGUGGCUUCUGAAUCCACCUUUAGUGCAGGAGGAAGGGUGGUUGAUCCGUAUCGGAGCUCCUUAACUCCAAAAACAUUGUAAGCACUUAUAUGUACUCAAGAUUGGAUUAAGGGGAAAUCUCCAACAUCAUUACUUUCAAUUGAGGAAUUUAUGGAGCUUGAGAAACAUGAGCAAGUGGCUUCCACUAAUGAUAUUGCUACCACCUCUAUUGCGCUUGAUGAAGAUUAAAUGACUUCCUUUUUCCUAUUUAUAAUCUAUUGUGAGUUCAAUCUCUUUUUCUUGAAUUUAAUUUAUGGACAGAAAAUCCGGUGCUAUUAAGUUGUCUUCUAUAUUUGCUGCUCUGUGUUGACUGUAAAAGACAUUGAGUCUGACAGUAGUAUAUUUGUUGCUAUGUGUUGCUCCUCUGUGUUGACGGUAUAAGAAUAUGGAGCUUGAGAAAUAGGAUCAAGAUGAACUGUUUAUCAAAUGUUAAUGCUAAUCACGAGUUUCCUUUUCUAUCAUACAAUUCAAUGUCUUUGAUUUGUUUGUUCAGGGUAUAGAGUAAAGAUUGGGUAAAAUAUGCCUCAUGCUUAUAGAUUAUUGCAGUUCAAACGUAAAUUAGUUUGUGGCUUCAUGCUUUAAAGAAAAGAAUACUCAUGCUUUGUAGACUCAUGCUCAUAAUUUUACUAUUCUUUAGAUCUGUUUUAAAUCAAUUUCUAGAGUAAUUCUAAGUAUUAUACUGCCUUCUUGCAAUUAACUUAUGGGUUACCUUUUUUCUCUUGAUCAACAAAUAUGCCAAUCACUUCACACUUUAUGGUCCCUCCCUUUUUGGUGCUUUGAAGACUGAAGGACAACAUGCUUUAAAUUGAAGACAACCUUCUCUUUUUCUUUUAUUUUAUGAUUCUUGGACCAUUUGUAUUAAGUAUUAUAUUAGCUUUUGUAUGCUUAUAUUUGGAGGCACAAAUAUGUUAGCCUUUUAAUUUUCAUUUUUUGCUUCAAGGCAGCACUUAGUUACUAUUUUGUGACAUUAUGGAUUUGCAAUUUGUACCUAUGGGCCUUAGUUGGACUGGAAAAAAAAAACUAUAUACAUGUUUAGAAACUUAGAUAGAUCUAUUGACAAAAAAUUUAGUUACUAUUUUGUGACA